AGAGGCGUGUGCGGAGCACCGUGAGUCUUUUCCUGCCUCUCACUAGCUUCUUCCCUCCCUGCCUGAGUCGCAGUCUGGGAGGUAAGGAGCUAUUGGUAGACAGGAAUAGCGCGCACGUAGUCCCACGCAUGUUUCU
rnacentral:pre_miRNA from 1 species